UCGCAGUGGGCUAAUGGGCCUGUGUGCGUUUGGACUGUCGUGUCAGCAGGGCACUCUGGAAGCAGUUCAUGAACAUGAUUCUCCUGCUGGGUUAGAAUAAAGGGUUUUUCUGUUUAAAAAAUUGAGAUGAGAAGAUACAAUGUGAACAGCUCUGGGCCCCAGGAGUGGCCCAGGCCGGCCAAGUCAGAACCUCAGAGCAUUUCUCUUGGUGGUCUGGUCUCGUCACUGUGCUUCACUCUUAGUUUGGCUUCGAAAAGAUAAACAUCUAAAAGUAGUUGAGAUGAUUUAGAAGAAAAUUGUAUGAGUUUAACUGGUUAAUUUAGGUAUAAUUAUUUCUAUAACUUAAGGACCGUUAUUUCAUACAUUUACCCAAGGUAAAUUUUCAAGACAUGUAUUUAAAAAAUAUUUCAAGUCACUUUUUUUUGUUGCUCCACUGCAAGAAAGAAGUAGCACUUGACUGUUUUUGAGCUAGAGCAUUGUGAUUUCUCUUUUAGCUUUAGGUCUUGGUAUGAAGCAAAAUGAAAACUUUCAAGAACUGCUAUGCUACCUGCAGGAAUAUAUAUAUAUAUAUAUUUUUUUUUUUUUUAAAGAUUUUAUUUAUUUUUAGAGAGAAGGGAAGGGAGGG